rnacentral:rRNA from 1 species
GGGGGGGGGGGGGGGGGGGCGUGGCGGGUGCGGGUCGGGGGGGCACUUCGGGGUGGGGGGCGGGGGGGUGAGGGGGACGUGGGAAGGUGCCCUUUGGUUGGGAAUCACGCGGGGCAACUAGCGCUAAUACCGGCGACGCCCUUUUGGGGAACGGCUUGCUGCCGAAGGAUCGGCCCGCGUCUGAUUAGCUCGUUGGUGGGGUAAUGGCCUACCAAGGCGACGAUCAGUAGCUGGUCUGAGAGGAUGAUCAGCCACACUGGGACUGAGACACGGCCCAGACUCCUACGGGAGGCAGCAGUGGGGAAUAUUGGACAAUGGGCGCAAGCCUGAUCCAGCCAUGCCGCGUGAGUGAUGAAGGCCUUAGGGUUGUAAAGCUCUUUUGUCCGGGACGAUAAUGACGGUACCGGAAGAAUAAGCCCCGGCUAACUUCGUG